GGACUACAAGGGUAUCUAAUCCUGUUUGCUCCCCACGCUUUUGUGCAUGAGCGUCAGUGUCGACCCAGGGGGCUGCCUUCGCCAUCGGUGUUCCUCCACAUCUCUACGCAUUUCACUGCUACACGUGGAAUUCCACCCCCCUCUGCCGCACUCCAGCCUGCUAGUUACAAGCGCAGUUCCCAGGUUAAGCCCGGGGAUUUCACACCUGUCUUAGCAAACCGCCUGCGCACGCUUUACGCCCAGUAAUUCCGAUUAACGCUCGGACCCUACGUAUUACCGCGGCUGCUGGCAC
rnacentral:rRNA from 2 species